AUUCGCAGGACUUCCCAAUGGUUUGACUAGUUUUACUACCACGCGUUGAGGAAAUCUACUUGUUACGGACAUUGAUUAGUGGAAGUGGAAACACUAAAGCAAAUAAAGGAGGAAGCGCUGCUAAAGUGGAGUGAGAAGGAGGAGCUGCAUACCAUCUUGAAGUGCCAUAUACGGACUUUGCUCUCACUUCACCUGUUUUCAUUCACUCUUGCUGCAUCGCCAGAAUCAAGCACAAAUACAGGCUCCAACGCGAUACUGCUGCAGUAUGGAUAAUAUUCAGAAUGCUAAGAGUGAGACAGAGGAGGUGAAAGUUGCUAUGCUGGAAAAUGAAAAUAAAGCAGAACAACCCAAAGAUGUCAAUCAAAAACCUGAAAAGCCUCAGUGCACCAGGAAAAAAUGUAAGGAAUCUGCUGUGAACCAGAAGAUGGAGUACCUGCGGGCUAAUAAAGGACUCAUAGCCACUGUAUUGAUUUCAGCUGCUCUUAUAUUUGCUGUUGUGGUUGCCAUGCUUGCCACUACAGAUGGGCACAGUCACUCAGCGCACAACACAAAACACAUUGUGCACGUGCAUAAUGUCACAGAAAUGCCAUAGCAAUAGCUGCAGCAGACUAGAAGGAUAAAUCAGUUUGACCAGCACUGUUAUUUUAUUUAUUAAAAAAAAAAAGUCUUUUCAUUUUAGACAGUUUCUGAUAUUGAUUAUGUUUUAUGUUAUAAAGUGUCAUCUGAAUAUGACAUUUUCCAGCAUAAUUAAAGGUGUAGUUCAGCCAAAAAUUAAAAUUUGCAUUGUUUACUCACCCUCAUGUUGUUCCAAACCUGUAUGUUUUUUUAUGUUAUAUGAUAAAUAUCUUUGUCCAUUCAGUGAAAGUCCAAUGGGGUCCAAAACAACAUUGGACCCUACUGACAAUUCUUCUUUUGUGAU